GAGCUGUGCGGCAUUCUGAGCAGGAAUGGCAAUGUGGACCUCUGUGAUGGGACAUCUUGUGGGAUCUCACAGCCAGUUCUGUGGCAAAGGAGGAUGAAGGUUUAUGAGGACUCGUCAGGAAGCUGGAUAACAGAACGAGCGCAAUGUAAGUAAUUUUGUGUGUGCAUGUGGUCCCAUUACAAGGAAUACCCAAUGGCAAAUGAGCACUAAAGAUCCCUCAACCCACACAUUGAAUGUAUUGUUCCCUGAGAGCAAUUGUAGAUAGAGGAGUGGGUGGGAAGUCUGAAGUCAGGGCAUUGUUUCUGCGUAUCUGAGUAGGCUGGUUUUUGAUAUUUGUGGGAGCUAGUGGUCGUUAACUCAUUUACCCCCUAUUUGGUGGACUCUGGUUCCCCCAUCUUAAGUGCUGAGUCAGGGGCCUAACCGGGCAGCUUUAACUAUUUGUUUGUUGUAGGUGCUAGAAGACCAGAAAAUGAAAUGGUAAGUGAAACUAAAGGAAUUGUAGAUGCUAAACAGGCUUGGCUUUGUUG
ensembl:processed_transcript Gas5 growth arrest specific 5